rnacentral:rRNA from 1 species
UACGUAGGUGGCAAGCGUUGUCCGGAUUUACUGGGCGUAAAGAGCGCGCAGGCGGUCGUUCAAGUCGCGUGUGAAAGCCCCCGGCUCAACUGGGGAGGGUCACGCGAUACUGAUCGACUCGAAGGCAGGAGGGGGUAGUGGAAUUCCAGGUGUAGCGGUGAAAUGCGUAGAUAUCUGGAGGAACACCGGUGGCGAAGGCGACAUCCUGGACCGGUAUUGACGCUGAGGCGCGAAAGCCAGGGGAGCAAACGGG